rnacentral:rRNA from 1 species
CAUAGCGACUAUCGUGGCAUAUCAAUAAGCGGAGGAAAAGAAACUAACAAGGAUUCCCUUAGUAACGGCGAGUGAAGCGGGAAGAGCUCAAAUUUGAAAUCUUCAAGGUUCUACCUUGACGAAUUGUAGUUUAUAGAAGUGUUUUCUGUUAGUGGAGUGGCAAAAGUUCUUUGGAAUAGGACAUCAUAGAGGGUGAGAAUCCCGUAUUUGGUCAUUCCUCCUAGCGUUGUGAUACGCUUUCAACGAGUCGGAUUGUUUGGGAAUGCAGUCCAAAAUGGGUGGUAAAUUUCAUCUAAAGCUAAAUAUUGGCGAGAGACCGAUAGCGAACAAGUACCGUGAGGGAAAGAUGAAAAGAACUUUGAAAAGAGAGUUAAACAGUACGUGAAAUUGUCAAAAGGGAAGCGUUCGACACCAGUGUUGUUUUUCCGAAAAUCAAUUACGAAUGUUUUGUUUUUGAGGAGUUAUGACUUCAUCGGCUUGCUCCUUUCUUUACGAAACUUUCUUAAUGCACUUUUCGGUUAACAAGUCAACAUCAAUUUCUUUUGUUGUAAAAGGAGUCAUUGAGGAAGGUGGCUUUCUUUUCGGAGAAAGUGUUUAUAGCCUUUGUACCUUCUGCAAUCGGAGAGAUUGAGGUCUGCAGCGUAGAUCCUUCGGGGUUAGAUACAUUUGUGCUAAGUUAUAGCCUUUCAUAGACAACUUGUUGACUAUGAUCAGUCAUGUAGCUUACUCGCUUAUGCUAUUUUACCUACGCUUAGGAUGUUGACGAGACUGUCGAUCUC